rnacentral:rRNA from 1 species
AGGUUGACCUCGGAUCAGGUAGGAAUACCCGCUGAACUUAAGCAUAUCAUUAAGCGGAGGAAA